rnacentral:lncRNA from 1 species
UUCUUGAGUUCACGACCGUACUUUAACGCCCGCAAAUCCAGGCUAGUCAAUUUAGAGGAAAUAGGGAUCGAAAAUGAAUUUUAGACAAAAGAUUAUUUAAAAUAAAUAAUCUUAACCAAGAUAUAGAAUAUGUCACAAGGUUUCCGUACAUAUAAAGAACGCCGAAAUCCGAGUUAUAACGAAGAAGUUAUGACCUGUCUAAGUUUUUCGGCAAAACCGGCACGGCACCGGGAAGCAUAAAAUGUGAAUUUAUGAUAGAAGAAUUUUUAUCCUUAGUAGUCUAAAAGAAAGUCGUAGAAUAUGUUAAACCGAGAAAAUCCAUAAAAAGAACGCCCAAAUCUGACUUCGUAUGAAGAAGUUAUGAUUUUUCUAAGAUUCGGCUUAGCAGUGCACAACCCGAAACUCGAAUUUUAGUUCGAGCGGUUUUUGGCUUACGCGACCUAAAUGAGAGUUGAAGAUCUCAUUAAUAGGAACUCAACGGUAAAAAGAUGGACGAAAACGGAGUUCGUAUGAAGGAGUUACAAAUUCUUCGCGGUCAUUUAACAGUCUAAACGCCUCCUACUAUUAAAUUUGAGAUCGGUCGAGAAUUAGCCGACAGAGUCUAAAUGAAAGUUGUAGAUCUUGUUUUUACCUACGUGUGGAAAAAAAGAACGUCGAAAAGGGAGCUCGUAUGCGAGAGUUAUGAUUUUUCUAAGUUUGAAGGCUGAUACGUGAUAUUGGGAGACGUGGCGCGAUCACAGCCAUUGCUUUCUCUCCAAGGAAAGCCAUCAGAUGAUGACACAUGGCACCAACUCGGCGAGUAGGUCCUCCUACUCGGCGAGUCCAUCAGGAAUUCACACUAUAAAUAGAGGUGUCGGGUUCCAUUCAUUCUCACACCUUUCCAAACCAUUCUUUCUCUCUCUAGACUCUCUCUCUCUAGCCCCCUAAUCCCCCUAAAAGCCUAGGUAAACCCCUAGCACCUGAAGGAAGCCCCGAGGCUCCCAGAGUCCCGAGAAAAGAGCCUUUCGGCUCGAGAACGCUGCUCCAACGAAGCCCGGUUUUUGAGAUAACCCGCUGUAAAUGAGCUAUGCCUACCCUAUCUUUUGUAUAGCUUAUGUUUUAAUAUAGUAACGUUAUUAGGAACUUAUAAUGAGUAUUUGGGCUAUUAUUAUGAGUUAUAUUGAGUGUUAUUUAACGCUUAUAUAAUAUUAAUCAUAUCUAGACUACUAAUGUGUCGCGGUUAUCGUUAGACUAAGCCCUAGUGGUAUUGGUAUUAGGUUUUAUCGAAGGGAAAUUGUUUUGAGAGUACCGAAGCGCUAUCCGAGUGCUGAGUCACCACCUUUCAGGUGAGUGCAUGGUCCCUUUCAUCUUACACAUAGAUAUGAAGUAUUUUAUUAUAAAUUAUGUGCUAUUUGUGCAUAUUGUCUGAAUACUUGCUGUCUAUGCCGGCGAAAGAUUUUAUACAUGUUUUAAAUGAUGUAAACUGUAUAAAGUAUUUUAUAUCUACAAAAUAUGUUGGGUAAAACAUGGGUAGAUGAAUGAUGAAGGAUAAAAGCUUAAAUAGAGGAACAUUAGUAGCAUGGACCAAGUGCCUUAUAGGUAUACAUUGGCAGCAGUGGACCUAGUACCCUAUAGAUGAGCACUGGCAGCUGCACCACAACUCGUAGAUGUUUUAGAUCUACGGUAAACGUCCUAGCAGCUGCGCUCUAAGGACAAUAUCGGCAGCUAGCUGCGCCUAAUAGGGAGCCUUAUGACCAUGACAAUAGCAUUUAAAGGUAAAUACCGGCAGAAGCGCCUCAUAGAAAAUGUCCCAAUUCUGGCAGCUACGCCUAAGUGACAAGAUUAGCAGUUGCGCUUGACCAAUGUGUCAUUGGCAACAACGGACUUCAUGUUGUUUCCUUAGGAUGAUCCUUAGGAAUGAAUGAAUGAGAAAUAGCUGAUUCUUAGGGUAGAUCCUUAAGAAUAAAGAAGAUAAUGGGGAUGGGUAAUUGGGUUGAUUGUUUGAUUGUUUAAACAUAAUAAUUAUAUUAUUGUGGGUUGAAAACCCUAUGUACUCACCAGGUUUCCCAACCUGACCCACUCAGUUUAUUUAUAUCACAGGUGUUGAUAUGAAGUGACAUUACACUGAGAGAUUUAAAGAGAUGUAGAUCACUAGUGUAAAUAAUUGUAAGUUCUGUUUAUGCUUAUGUUUCUGUAUUAACGAUGACAUCCCAAACGUUUUAAAAUGAAAUAAAUACGUUUCUUCGAAAAUGUUUUAAUAACGUAUUUACCAUGUUUUUCUGGGAACAAAUUCCGCAACAUUUUUAUAAAAUGAAGUACUCUGAUUUUUAUAAAGCAUAAACAACAUCGGUCUUUUCUGGCCGUGAAAAUGGGGAUGUCACAGUUGGUAUCAGAGCAUUAGUUUAAGCGAACUAGGAAUAUGGAUUUAUUUCUAGACUUAAACUUAGAAUGCUAAGCGAUGAUUGUGAGGUGUGAGCACUAGAUUAUUUUCGGGAUUGUGCCUAAAAUGCUUUUAUGUGCUAAAUGCUUGUGUCUGAUAUGUUGUUAUUUGUUCGGAUCUGUGGUCUAUUGCCGAUCGGAUCUGGAAAUUUUAUGUUCUCAGGUUUCUAAAUGUUUAAAUACGAUAUUAGAACUGGGAUGUAACUUUUCGGAGUAAUAAGGAGGAUUACACGUCUAAAUCUUCUUUAUCUAUAUUCUCGUCUUGAUGCACUGAACGCAUGCUUCCGUGAAAAUAACGUCAUGGUGAAGGCUGGUAGCAAAUUAUGUAAAUGGUGGAAAUGAAAAGGCUUAUGAUAGUGAAUGAUGCCUAUCAGAAGAUAUCAUAAGAGAGGUACCUUGCCUUUAGAAUACGUCGGAGAAAAUCAAUACGUCUAGAGAAGUACGGAACAUCUGAAUGUACACAUUUGAUUGGCGGGAGGAUAGAACGAUUGGUGUAAUUCCUAAAGUUUUCCUAUCAUCUGGAAUUUCCAUCACCAACCGAGUUGAAGCAGAAUUGAUGAUUGAAGAUACGCAUGGAAGAAGUCCUAGUAGAGUUUAGGGAAAUUUUUAUGAUUAUUUGGACACACUCGUAUGUGUUAAAUUGUUUUGUGAUUUUAGGACUUGGGGACUGCGAGACAAUACUUGGGACGAGUAUGAGUAGGUGUGAAUGGUAGUAGAGGCUUAUACUACCGGAAGCACAAGACUCACACUUGGAUCAGGGAAAGUCACAAAGUUACCAAGAAGCUAGUAAUUGAUUACGUUUUAUUCAAGUAUGUCGUUACCAUUGUUUCGGUAAUGACUAAGAAGAUUGUUGUUAUCCUGACCCUAGUGGUCAUAUCACAUUGAGUCCGACUACGAUGAGUAGGUUACGUGGUUCAGAGAACCAAGUUUGAUGUAGCGUCUGACUUAAACCAAACGAUUGAAAUCAAAGCGAUCAAUAGAAGUAUCGCGCUCGUUGUUAAAGAAGUUGGUAUCUAGAAAUGCUACAUGUUAAAAUGUGAUUAUAUCACAUUAGACCAUGAAGGAAGGCAUAUUCCAUUCGGGAAUUUGACUCUAAGAGACCUGAGUCUAAGCGUUGCUACAUACGAUGAUAGGUCAUUAGAAUAUGACACAUUGGUCAAUUGUAGUAAUCAAAUUAAGUUAUCCUAAGUUUGUUAAGAAGAAGAAGGAGUCUCUGAUAAAUAAUGAGGUUGUGACACGAAAGUCAUGAUUGAAAGUCUAACGAGCAGGUGCAAGACCGAGCACCGCCUGCAGUCAAGGAGUCCAAGAGUUAGAUACUCGUUCAAAGCAACAUAGAAGUUACGAUUAUUACCUAGGAUGAAGAGAUAACAUAUGGAGUCAUUAUACUAUCCUGUUUCUUUGAUGAUUCCGGGGCGUAAUCAUCCUAAGGGGGAGAUAAUUGUAACGCCCGCAAAUCCGGGAUAGUCAAUUUAGAGGCAAUAAGGGUCGAAAAUGAAUUUUCGACAAAAUAUUAUUUAAAAUAAAUAAUCUUAACCAAGAUAUAGAAUAUGUCACAAGGUUUUCGUACAUAUAAAGAACGCCAAAAUCCGAGUUAUAACGAAGAAGUUAUGACCUGUCUAAGUUUUUCGGCAAAACCGGCACGGCACCGGGAAGCAUAAAAUGUGAAUUUAUGAUAGAAGAAUUUUUAUCCUUAGUAGUCUAAAAGAAAGUCGUAGAAUAUGUUAAACCGAGAAAAUCCAUAAAAAGAACGCCCAAAUCUGACUUCGUAUGAAGAAGUUAUGAUUUUUCUAAGAUUCGGCUUAGCAGUGCA